GGCACACUUUUUCUGAGAGCUGCCUGA
rnacentral:piRNA from 1 species